rnacentral:rRNA from 1 species
AGUGAACGCUGGCGGUAGGCCUAACACAUGCAAGUCGAACGGCAGCGCAGUAAGAGCUUGCUCUUACGGGUGGCGAGUGGCGGACGGGUGAGGAAUACAUCGGAAUCUACUUUUUCGUGGGGGAUAACGUAGGGAAACUUACGCUAAUACCGCAUACGACCUACGGGUGAAAGCAGGGGAUCUUCGGACCUUGCGCGAUUGAAUGAGCCGAUGUCGGAUUAGCUAGUUGGCGGGGUAAAGGCCCACCAAGGCGACGAUCCGUAGCUGGUCUGAGAGGAUGAUCAGCCACACUGGAACUGAGACACGGUCCAGACUCCUACGGGAGGCAGCAGUGGGGAAUAUUGGACAAUGGGCGCAAGCCUGAUCCAGCCAUACCGCGUGAGUGAAGAAGGCCUUCGGGUUGUAAAGCCCUUUUGUUGGGAAAGAAAAGCAGCAGGUUAAUACCCCGCUGUUCUGACGGUACCCAAAGAAUAAGCACCGGCUAACUUCGUG